AUGCAAGUUCCCAGAACUCACAGGGAGUCUAAUUGGGUAGGUCAGAGGAGGUCUUGAUCAAGAGCAUGCAUUUUUAUAAUACAUCUUAGGUGAUUCUGAUUCAGGAAAGUCUCUGAUAUCUCCCUUUGAGAAGCAUUUAAAAAACCGUUACACUGAAGAUUUGAAACUGACUCCUAUCCUGAAGAGCCAUCAGUGAAGAGGAUUUUAAGCAUUUAACUCAGGCCUCUUCGAGUAAGGAGAAUAGGGCAGGAGUCUCAUCGAAUUUAGGCAAGUCAACUGACCUUUCCUGAACCUCAGUUCCAGCUUCUACGAGAGAAUUCCUGCCCUGCAUUCCCGACUAACAGAGUCAUUUGUAAAAACCAAACAAGAUAAAUGUGAAUGGGCAAGGCAUUCUAACCCCAUGCCUACAUCCAUUAUCAACCUAUGCCUAUGCUAAAGCUUGUUACAAUGAGCAGAAGAAUCAGAUCCUGUCUCAUUCUCUUAGUUUCUUGUAUUAGAAAUAACUAGAUCCAAGCCAGGACAUUUCUCAACAUUUCCCGUGAUUAUUCUAUUUUGUGUCAUACACACCUUGGAGGGCUCAGACUUUGCAUAUCUUGUCCCAACAUCUAGCA
rnacentral:lncRNA from 10 species